rnacentral:lncRNA from 1 species
UGGAAGGAGGGUGGAACCUUAUGAAUUAGAUGACUACAUAAAACAUUAAAGUACCAUGAGCUUAAAAACUCUGCAAGCUAUAAGAUCUGCCCCAAGGUAAGUGACUAGGAUCACGGAGUAAUAACUCAAAGAUGAGCUCAGAUC